rnacentral:lncRNA from 1 species
UAACCAUUCAUACAUCUCUCUUAUCUUACAAUUCUGCAAUAUAGUGUGUGUCCUAUUCAUGAAUAGUUGAAGACAAAAAGUCACAUUCAUGAAUAGUAGGAGUCAAGUUACUGUGUAAAUAGUAAAGGUUAGUAACUGUGUAAAUAGUAAAGGUUAGUAACUGUGUAAAUAGUAAAGGUCAAUCGUCUUUUGGUAAGGAUGAAAGGUCAUUAGGAACUUGUAUAUAAGUGGCAUUUGCCUUUGUAAAUAAAUCAUCAAUCACUAACCAUCCAUACAUCUCUCUUAUCUUACAAUUCUGCAAUAUAGUCGAUCACCCCCCCCCCCUCCCCCAAAUUGGUAUCAGAGCGGCCUUCUUGGCCGACAAUUUACAUGACUCAAAAAAGCAAAACUAUACAAAUUGACUAAUUUGUACAUAUAUCUUUAUGUCUAUUUUUUCUUUUAUUUUCUUCUUCUUAGUUCAUUCCAGCUGUACGUCUGGGACAUAGUUAUCUUCUCCAUUGCAUUUUGAACAUAUAUGUUCCUGAUACUUAUGUCCAAUCAGUUUGCAAUAUCUGGUUAAUAAUUCUUUCAAAAUAAAUCCUUGCUUCAAAGCUCUAGUUGUUGGUGGUAAUUCUGGCUUUAACAAAGAUAAUAUCCAUCUCUGUACUUUUGCCAUAUCUGUUGUCCUAACUUCUUUGGAAUUUGCAUAUAUCGUUAAAUGAUCUCUGGAAUAAUAACUCCAACUAGCAAUUCCUUGUAGAUAAUUUGUAGCUAGUUCUUGGAUUAUAGUUGAUAGCCCAAUUGUUCUUUUAUUUGCAUAAAAAAUAGGUAUCUCAACUUUAGGUAUUUCUGGCUGUGCCGAUAUAUCCUCUGGUAUUAUCAUUUCCCGUGUCAAUCCCAUUUUGACAACUUGGAUAGUUGGUUUUAUUUCGUCAAAAAGUAUUUCUGCUGGUGCUGUAUAAAAUUUUAUAAAAAAUAGGUUGCCUUUUGUAAUUCUUUUGUAUGUUAAAAAGGUUUUGUGGAUCUCAGGAAUUCCACUUAUUUCUGUACCAUCAUAUGUAUAUACCGUACUAAGUAGUCCAUAACUGUAACAAGUUCUAACCAAGUUUGGGUUAGUUUUAGGUUGUGCGAUUAGUUUAUUGUAGCCUUGCAAAUGUUGGGUUACAUAAUCCUUUGUUUUUUCUGUAGUGGUAGUAGAUCUUGGCUUGAGGUUUAAAAAAGUUUGGAUUGUAUAUAUGUUUUUGAUAUAUGAUUGGGUAAUAUGGUUAUAUAUCUUCUUUUCUCUGUUUAGGCUUUCUGCGUAGGUAGAAGUUUGUGGACUUGGUGUUAUAUCUAUAAUUUGUUUUCUGUGAAUGAAUGGUUUUUCAAAUAGAUUGUUUAAAUUGAUAUUUUUUCCCUUACUUGUACUUGCUUCAUUUGUACCUGCAGUUGAUAAUUUGUUAGUAUUUUGAGUUUUUAGGUGUUUCUCAACGUCACCUUUUAGUUCUGACCUUUUAUCGUCUGCCGGACGACGUAGCUCCGCAUAUUUAGAGUCAUGCUGCUGACCAUUAUAUGCUUUCUUCAAUAGUUGCACUUCACUGUCAAGACUUUCCACUUUUUGGCAAAGUGUAGUUAUGGC